ensembl:rRNA 5S_rRNA 5S ribosomal RNA
GUUUACAGCCAUACCACACUGAACAUGCCCGAUCUCAUCUGAUCUCGGAAGCUAAGCAGGGUCCGGCCUGGUUAGUUCUUGGAUGGGAGUAAGAGUAGUUGAGAGAGAAGUAGUAGUCA